GACAUACCACGAUCUUACUAAAAGGCAUUGAUCGCUGAUUCGCUGAAGUCUCCCAGCCGGCCCAGCCCCCUCCCGAUUGACCUUUGCCAUUUGGUCCAGUUGCCCUAGUCUCCCAGGUUCCCACUCGGCCACUCCCAGCCCUCCCCCGAAACUCGAUCCCUUUCCCCGACUUGCCGCCGCGCAGCUCUUCGCUCACACGCCGCGCCGCCGGCCGUGAAGCCCGUCCGCCGAGCACCACCACCCCUUCCCCCUUCGCCUCCUUCUCCUCCCUCCCUCACUUCCCCCAAAAUCCCGCCACCCCCCUCCUCUCUCACUGCCGUGAGCCGCUUGGCGGCAACAGAGCCGCCACCCGUCACCGCCGUCUCCCCGCCCCUCUUCAGUCUUCCUUUCGCCACAGUUCACUCGAGCCCCCGACCACCCCACCUCCCCGACUCCACCGACCGCACCACAGCACCAAGCAGAGUCGCCUUUGUGGCGAAUUAGGGAUUCGGCCCACGCGACCUACUGGCCCCUUCGGUUUCGAUUUGGAUCGAGAGAAAGAGGGAGGGAGCCGCGAUGGGGAACCGGAAAAUCCCGAGCUCAGGUGUGACUCUCGUGCUCCAAUGUCCGAAUGAUCGCCGCCGAUUCGCGGCGAUUGUCGGAUGGCGGAUUCUCUCAUGACUUGUGAUUCGAUCAUGUAUUCUGGUUUUCCCUUUCUUUUUAAGAUUUCUCACACCCUGUGGUAUUAUUUGCUGAAGCAAUGAUGCUGAUUAACGGUGGUUUUUCUAUCUUCUGUUUUUUGGCUUUUCGCUUCUAAUUUGAGACUAAUCCUCUGUUUACUAAUUUGUUCCAAAUACUUGUGCAAU
rnacentral:lncRNA from 1 species